rnacentral:rRNA from 1 species
AGAUUGAACUGAAGAGUUUGAUCAUGGCUCAGAUUGAACGCUGGCGGCAGGCUUAACACAUGCAAGUCGA